rnacentral:miRNA from 1 species
CUAAAAUCGAGCAUAGACAUC